rnacentral:rRNA from 1 species
UACGUAGGGGGCGAGCGUUGUCCGAAUUUAUUGGGCGUAAAGCGCGUGUAGGCGGCUCUUUAAGUCAGAUGUGAAAUCCUGCGGCUCAACUGCAGAACUGCAUUUGAUACUGGAGGGCUUGAGUGUGGGAGAGGAAAGUGGAAUUCCUGGUGUAGCGGUGAAAUGCGUAGAUAUCAGGAGGAACACCCGUGGCGAAGGCGGCUUUCUGGCCCACCACUGACGCUGAGACGCGAAAGCUAGGGGAGCGAACGGG